rnacentral:lncRNA from 1 species
CUGAUCUACACUAUAUACCUUUUUUACACUGUCUCAGUCUGGCAGUAUUGAACCUGUUGCUGCAUUAGCCGAGUUGUAUUUUGCUAGAUAGGGGAAGGAGGGUUGUCUGCUGUCUGGUAGGAGGGCUUUGUCUGUGUGUGCCUUUCUCUCUCUCUCCCUCUCUCUCUCUGUGUCUCUCAUACUCCCGCUUGCUCUCCCUCUGGCUCUCUCUCUCUCCCUCGCUCUCUCUCCCUUUCCCGUCUCUGUGGUUUGUAAGGGAGACAGCGACUAUGAGGAGACAAACUGAGGACUGGGGAACAAGGGAACUAGAGGGCUUGAAACCUCUUUUACAUCCUGCAUUGGCUCUGACCACAGUCCUUCCCUGCUCUCACAAGUGGAGCUCAGCCCUGCUUUCCUUCCUGUUGAUUCCCAGUCAGCUACUUGACUGCCUGAAGUUACAUUUUAGAUGCUGAAAUCACUGCACCUUAAAAACAAAAAGAUUAAGCUGCACUGCAUUCCUACGUUGGCCCCAGUGGAUGAUCCAACACAUCAUUCCAUAAGUCAGCCCAGACACAGAGACCAAAGAUGUUGUCACUAAAUGUCCAAAACAAUUGUCAUUAACUUCUUUGCUGCUUCUUUUCCAGCCUACAAGUUUUAAAAGAAAACAGUAUGUUUUAUGUUUACCAUAUAUCAAUGAAGAUAAACUAUGCCAUGACCAAAAACAAGUAUUAUUAAAUGCCACGAAA